rnacentral:rRNA from 1 species
GAUGAACGCUGGCGGCGUGCCUAACACAUGCAAGUCGAGCGAAGAUAGAGACGAGUACUUGUACAAAUUUUUAUCUUAGCGGCGGACGGGUGAGUAACACGUGAGUAACCUGCCUUUCACUGGGGAAUAACAUCGAGAAAUCGGUGCUAAUACCGCAUAAUGUCACGAGGCUGCAUGGCCAUGUGACCAAAGGAGCAAUCCGGUGAUAGAUGGACUCGCGUCCGAUUAGAUAGUUGGUGAGGUAACGGCCCACCAAGUCAACGAUCGGUAGCCGAACUGAGGGGUUGAUCGGCCAGAUUGGGACUGAGACACGGCCCAGACUCCUACGGGAGGCAGCAGUGGGGAAUAUUGGGCAAUGGGCGAAAGCCUGACCCAGCAACGCCGCGUGAAGGAAGAAGGUCUUCGGAUUGUAAACUUCUUUGAUCAGGGACGAAUAAAUGACGGUACCUGAAGAACAAGCCACGGCUAACUACGUGCCAGCCGCCGCCGUAACAC